GACGAACGCUGGCGGCGUGCUUAACACAUGCCAGUCGAGCGGUAAGGCUCCUUCGGGAGUACACGAGCGGCGAACGGGUGAGUAACACGUGAGUAAUCUGCCCUUCACUUCGGGAUAACCACCGGAAACGGUGGCUAAUACCGAAUACGACCAGUCUUCGCAUGAGGUGCUGGUGGAAAGUCUUUUCGGUGAAGGAUGUGCUCGCGGCCUAUCAGCUUGUUGGUGGGGUAAUGGCCUACCAAGGCUUCGACGGGUAGCCGGCCUGAGAGGGUGACCGGCCACACUGGGACUGAGACACGGACCAGACUCCUACGGGAGGCAGCAGUGGGGAAUAUUGGACAAUGGGCGAAAGCCUGAUCCAGCAACGCCGCGUGAGGGAUGACGGCCUUCGGGUUGUAAACCUCUUUCAGUACCGACGAAGCGCCCUGUCGGGUGGUGACGGUAGGUACAGAAGAAGGACCGGCCAACUACGUG
rnacentral:rRNA from 1 species